rnacentral:rRNA from 1 species
GUGAGGAAUUUUCCGCAAUGGGCGAUAGCCUGACGGAGCAAUGCCGCGUGAAGGAUGAAGGCCUAUGGGUUGUAAACUUCUUUUCUCAGAAAAGAAUUAUGACGGUAUCUGAGGAAUAAGCAUCGGCUAACUCUGUGCCAGCAGCCGCGGUAAGACAGAGGAUGCAAGCGUUAUCCGGAAUGAUUGGGCGUAAAGCGUCUGUAGGUUGUUUAAAAAGUAUUCUGUCAAAGAUUAGGGCUUAACCCUAGAUAGGCAGAAUAAACUUUUAAGCUAGAGUUUGGUAGAGGCAGAGGGAAUUCCCGGUGGAGCGGUGAAAUGCGUAGAUAUCGGGAGGAACACCAAAGGCGAAGGCACUCUGCUGGGCCAAUACUAACACUGAGAGACGAAAGCGAGGGGAGCAAAUGGGAUUAGAAACCCGGGUAGUCC